CUCCCUAGCGGGUACUGUUUCUUAAAGCAGCUCUCCCAAAUUCAGAUGCCAAAAUGAACAUUAGUAACUCUUUAAGGCUCUUGGACAUCUUGAGAAACAAGUCAUCUUCCAAAACCACCAAAUGCUAGACACCUUGAAAUAAUGCUUUGGGACUUGCAUGUUCCCCCCACUUUAAACUUCCUUUCUCUGCAGACCAUGCCACAAAGGCCUUUCUUUCCCAAGGUGCUGUGAGCUUUCACCAAUGGAUGAGUGAUUCAGCUGUAGUUCAUUCCAGGACUCCCAGAUUCCUGUCCCCUGUGCUGUUACUGGAGUUAAUCCAAAUCAAACAGGAAUCAAUAUAAUAUCUUCUCUGCACCAAAUGGAGGCUGGAUAAGAGAACGGUUAAAGAAAAUGGAAUUGAGUUUUUCUUGAACCUAGGAUGGUUUUUAGUACAUCCGCCAGUCUCCUUCUCUGAGGUUUUGAUGGUAGGAACUGGAGGCACCAAAAGCAAGUCAGACCAGCACGGGUUAGUAAACACUAGUGGUGCAUCUGAUUGAACAGCCCAUUCUGCAGUGGCGCUUUGGGAGAAGUCAUGGGUUUUGCAUGGAAAAUUUCUUCCUGAGCUCAGAUGAUAUCUUUGCAUAGUUUAUGCCUAUGGUAUCCAGUUCAGUAGUCCUUGCAAUUUGUAUGCUAAUUAGUGUAAGUGAAAAGGCUACUUUUGUUCACUUUAGAUAUCUACUGAAUAACUUUUUUUUU